GGACACCUACGGGAGGCAGCAGUAGGGAAUCUUCCACAAUGGGCGAAAGCCUGAUGGAGCAACGCCGCGUGGGUGAAGAAGGUCUUCGGACCGUAAAACCCUGUUGUUAGAGAAGAAAGUGCGUGAGAGUAACUGUUCACGUUUCGACGGAAUCUAACCAGAAAGCCACGGCUAACUACGUGCCAGCAGCCGCGGAAAUACGUAGGUGGCAAGCGUUAUCCGGAUUUAUGGGGCGUAAAGGGAACGAAGGCGGUCUUUUA
rnacentral:rRNA from 1 species